rnacentral:tRNA from 1 species
GGCGGCGUAGCUUAGUUGGUUAUAGCGUUCGGUUCAUACCCGAGAGGUCACCGGUUCGAAUCCUGUCGCCGCUACCA